UACGGAAUGUGCAAACGUUAUUCGGAAUCACUGGGCUUAAAGAGUCCGUAGGCGGCCUGUUAGGUGAGGUGUGAAAUCCCCCGGCUCAACCGAGGAAUUGCGCUUCAAACCGGCAGGCUAGAGGAGGAUAGAGGUGGGCGGAACUGAUGGUGGAGCGGUGAAAUGCGUUGAUAUCAUCAGGAACACCGGAGGCGAAAGCGGUCCACUGGGUCCUUUCUGACGCUGAGGGACGAAAGCUAGGGGAGCGAAGCGGG
rnacentral:rRNA from 1 species